rnacentral:lncRNA from 1 species
GCACAUACCUCUGAUCCCAAAACCCUGGGAGGCUGAGCUAGGACGAUUACAAAUUGAAGUCCCACCUGGACAACUUAAUGACUUAGCAAGACCUUGUCUCCAGAAGAAAAAAGAAAAAAAGGGAAAGUUUGGAAAUGUAUCUCUAUGUGAAAGUCCUGGAUUCAAUCUCUAGUAUCAAAAAAAGCUACCAUACCAUGGUGGUAUCAGGAGAUGACUUUGAGAGGAGCAUAUUUUAAACUUAUCCAAUCUACUUCAUGACUCACUUACUACAACACCAUGGAUGGUUGAAGAGCAAAGGAAUGUUUAGCUUGGAUAAAAGAAGACUCAGUUAUAUAGGGAAAGGAUUACUUGUUUAAUAAGCCUAAAAUGGAGAAUUGGAAUUGUAAGUAAAAGCUUCAGUGAGCAAAUUUCAAUACAAUGUCAGAAAGUAUUUUGUUACUACCAGAAUUAUCCAGA